CAGUCGCCACGGUAAUACGUAGGGUGCGAGCGUUAAUCGGAAUUACUAGGCGUAAAGCGUGCGCAGGCGGUUCGUUAAGACAGAUGUGAAAUCCCCGGGCUUAACCUGGGAACUGCAUUUGUGACUGGCGAGCUAGAGUAUGGCAGAGGGGGGUAGAAUUCCACGUGUAGCAGUGAAAUGCGUAGAGAUGUGGAGGAAUACCGAUGGCGAAGGCAGCCCCCUGGGCCAAUACUGACGCUCAUGCACGAAAGCGUGGGGAGCAAACAGGAUUAGAUACCCGAGUAGUCCCUGUCUCUUAUAC
rnacentral:rRNA from 1 species